GACGAACGCUGGCGGCGUGCUUAACACAUGCCAGUCGAACGGAAAGGCCCUGCUUUUGUGGGGUGCUCGAGUGGCGAACGGGUGAGUAACACGUGAGUAACCUGCCCUUGACUUUGGGAUAACUUCAGGAAACUGGGGCUAAUACCGGAUAGGAGCUCCUGCUGCAUGGUGGGGGUUGGAAAGUUUCGGCGGUUGGGGAUGGACUCGCGGCUUACCAGCUUGUUGGUGGGGUAGUGGCUUACCAAGGCUUUGACGGGUAGCCGGCAUGAGAGGGUGACCGGGCACAUUGGGACUGAGAUACGGCCCAGACUGCUACGGGAGGCAACAGUGGGGAGUAUUGCACAGUGGGCGGAAGCCUGAUGCAGAAACGCCGCGUGCGGGAUGACGGCCUUCGGGUUGUGAACAGCUUUCGCCUGUGACGAAGCGUGAGUGACGGUAAUGGGUGAAGAAGCACCGGCUAACUACGUG
rnacentral:rRNA from 1 species